rnacentral:rRNA from 1 species
UACGGGGGGGGCAAGCGUUGUUCGGAAUUACUGGGCGUAAAGGGCUCGUAGGUGGCCAACUAAGUCAGACGUGAAAUCCCCAGGCUCAACUUGGGAACUGCGUCUGAUACUGGAUGGCUUGAAUUCGGGAGAGGGAUGCAGAAUUCCAGGUGUAGCGGUGAAAUGCGUAGAUAUCUGGAGGAAUACCGGUGGCGAAGGCGGCAUCCUGGACCGGCAUUGACGCUGAGGAGCGAAAGCUAGGGGAGCAAACGGG